rnacentral:rRNA from 1 species
UUCGAGUGGCGGACGGGUGAGUAACGCGUGGGUAACCUGCCUUACACAGGGGGAUAACACCUGGAAACAGGUGCUAAUACCGCAUAAGCGCACAGGGCCGCAUGGCCCGGUGUGAAAAACUCCGGUGGUGUAAGAUGGACCCGCGUCUGAUUAGCUUGUUGGCGGGGUAGGGGCCCACCAAGGCGACGAUCAGUAGCCGGCCUGAGAGGGUGGACAGCCACAUUGGGACUGAGACACGGCCCAAACUCCUACGGAAGGCAGCAG